ACGCUGGCGGCAGGCUUAACACAUGCAAGUCGAACGGUAGCAGGAGGAAGCUUGCUUUCUUGCUGACGAGUGGCGGACGGGUGAGUAAUGCUUGGGAAUCUGGCUUAUGGAGGGGGAUAACUACGGGAAACUGUAGCUAAUACCGCGUAGUGUCGAGAGACGAAAGUGCGGGACCGCAAGGCCGCAUGCCAUGAGACGAGCCCAAGUGGGAUUAGGUAGUUGGUGGGGUAAAGGCCUACCAAGCCUGCGAUCUCUAGCUGGUCUGAGAGGAUGGCCAGCCACACUGGAACUGAGACACGGUCCAGACUCCUACGGGAGGCAGCAGUGGGGAAUAUUGCGCAAUGGGGGGAACCCUGACGCAGCCAUGCCGCGUGAAUGAAGAAGGCCUUCGGGUUGUAAAGUUCUUUCGGUAUUGAGGAAGGAGUGUAUGUUAAUAGCAUACAUUAUUGACGUUAAAUACAGAAGAAGCACCGGCUAACUCCGUGCCAGCAGCCGCGGUAAUACGGAGGGUGCGAGCGUUAAUCGGAAUAACUGGGCGUAAAGGGCACGCAGGCGGUUAUUUAAGUGAGGAGUGAAAGCCCCGGGCUUAACCUGGGAAUUGCAUUUCAGACUGGGUAACUAGAGUACUUUAGGGAGGGGUAGAAUUCCACGUGUAGCGGUGAAAUGCGUAGAGAUGUGGAGGAAUACCGAAGGCGAAGGCAGCCCCUUGGGAAUGUACUGACGCUCAUGUGCGAAAGCGUGGGGAGCAAACAGGAUUAGAUACCCUGGUAGUCCACGCUGUAAACGCUGUCGAUUUGGGGAUUGGGCUUAAAGCUUGGUGCCCGUAGCUAACGUGAUAAAUCGACCGCCUGGGGAGUACGGCCGCAAGGUUAAAACUCAAAUGAAUUGACGGGGGCCCGCACAAGCGGUGGAGCAUGUGGUUUAA
rnacentral:rRNA from 1 species